rnacentral:rRNA from 1 species
GUUUGAUCCUGGCUCAGGACGAACGCUGGCGGCGUGCUUAACACAUGCAAGUCGAACGGAAAGGCCCUGCUUGCAGGGUACUCGAGUGGCGAACGGGUGAGUAACACGUGGGUGAUCUGCCCUGCACUUCGGGAUAAGCCUGGGAAACUGGGUCUAAUACCGGAUAGGAGCCAUUUUUAGUGUGAUGGUUGGAAAGUUUUUUCGGUGUAGGAUGAGCUCGCGGCCUAUCAGCUUGUUGGUGGGGUAAUGGCCUACCAAGGCGACGACGGGUAGCCGGCCUGAGAGGGUGACCGGCCACACUGGGACUGAGACACGGCCCAGACUCCUACGUGAGGCAGCAGUGGGGAAUCUUAGACAAUCGGCGAAAGCCUGAUCUAGCGAUGCCGCGUGAGUGA